GGGUUGUGAGGUUAAGCGACUAAGCGUACACGGUGGAUGCCCUGGCAGUCAGAGGCGAUGAAGGACGUGCUAAUCUGCGAUAAGCGCCGGUAAGGUGAUAUGAACCGUUAUAACCGGCGAUUUCCGAAUGGGGAAACCCAGUGUGUUUCGACACACUAUCAUUACGUGAAUACAUAGCGUAAUGAA
rnacentral:rRNA from 1 species